UGGGGAUGACGUCAAGUCCUCAUGGCCCUUAUAGGUGGGGCUACACACGUCAUACAAUGGCUGGUACAAAGGGUUGCCAACCCGCGAGGGGGAGCUAAUCCCAUAAAGCCAGUCGUAGUCCGGAUCGUAGUCUGCAACUCGACUACGUGAAGUCGGAAUCGCUAGUAAUCGUGGAUCAGAAUGUCACGGUGAAUACGUUCCCGGGUCUU
rnacentral:rRNA from 1 species